GUAUAUGUACUACAUUUUCUUGAUCCAUUGAUCUACUGAGGGGUAUCUGGGUUGGUUUUAGUCAUAGUAAAUUGUGCUGUGAUGAACAUAGUUGUGCUGGUAGCUUUAGUGUCAACCAAGAUCUUUCUAUUUCUAAGUUCCCAUAUAGCUGACGUGAUAGGUGUGUACAGGUUUUCAUCAAUUGAAAUAGGGUUAUCUCAGCCAUGCGGUGGCCUUAAACUAUUUACCUCCUGAAUAGCUAGGAUCAUAGGUGUGAGCCACUGUGCUAGGACUUACUAGAUAUUCUGAUUACAUGUAUGUAAGACUUUUGUACAGAAAGUACAAAUAAAGUCGUUUAGUUUACAUCUCCCUGCUCUUUCAUAGAUGGUACAAGCUAUUUAAAAUUUUUUAAAUCAGUUAUGACUUUUGUAUACUAGUGUUUGAAUGCAGGGCCUCAUGCUUGUUAGGCAGGAGCUUUUUAACACUUAAGCCAUGCCCCCAACCCUUAAAUUAGUUACAACUUAAAUUUUCUUUUGUGUGCUAUUCCUAAUUUCAAAAUCAUUCCAGCUAUCUUUUCCAUUAAUAGUUCUUCCCUCACCCCACUGGGUUUGAGUUAUAUUCUUAUUGUUAUAAUAAAGGUGAUAUAUAAAGGGAUUCCAGUUACAUAAGUAAGGUAAUAAGUACACUUCUUU